UAGUCAUAUGCUUGUCACAAAGGCUAAGCCAUGCAUGUGUAAGAAUAAGCCCUAGAAUGGUGAAUCUGCGAAUGGCUCAUUAAAACAGUUAUUGUUUAUUUGAUGGUACUUACUACUUGGAUAACCGUAGUAAUUCUAGAGCUAAUACAUGCUUCAACCCCCGACUUCGGAAGGGGCGCAUUUAUUAGAUACAAACCAUUGGCCCUUCACGGGGUCUUUAAUUGGUGAGUCAUAAUAACUGAGCGAAUCGAAUGGCCUUGUGCUGUCGAUGCUUCAUUCAAAUUUCUGCCCUAUCAGCUUUCGAUGGUAGGAUCUUGGCCUACCAUGGCUAUAACGGGUAACGGGGAAUUAGGGUUCGAUUCCGGAGAGGGAGCUUGAGAAACGGCUACCACAUCCAAGGAUGGCAGCAGGCGCGCAAAUUACCCAAUCCCGACACGGGGAGGUAGUGACAUGAAAUAACAAUGCUGGGUUCGUUUGAAUCCGGCAAUUGGAAUGAGAGUAAUUUAAACCAAUUCUCGAGGAGCCAUU
rnacentral:rRNA from 1 species